rnacentral:lncRNA from 1 species
UGAUGGGAACUAAAAAAUUUUGGUCCAAUUAACAAUAAAUCAGUUAAAAUAAAAAUUAAAAGGUAACGAUAGUGGUGACGAGGACAUGAUACGGAUAUGUUUAAAAGAAUUGUUCUUAUCCUCUUUGCUAACACACUACCAUGUGGAAUUGAAAACUCCUAAACAAAUCUAAACCAUAUACUAUUUAAUAAAUAAAUCUUAGUAUUUAAUUACAAACCGACGUUGUAA